CAGGCCUUGCGGGCUGGCUCGCGCCGUCAUCUUGUUAUAUCCCAAAGCGGAUCUAUUCAAGUAAAUGCAAUCGGUAAAUUCUUUUCGGCUCAUCGAACUUUUCGAUUGCCUCAUGUAAUUCCUGGAACGCUGAGUAGCAGACCACGCACUCACACUACAUGCCAGCGCGAGGAAUGAAGCAAGACUCUUUCUGCAAGAUCAUCAAUAUUGCGGUGCAUUAUCCCCAAAAUUGGAGCUCAGGCACCUACAGUAUUCGGAACCAAUAGGUAGUCUUUCGCGAAUCCUGGCAACAGACGGAACUCCUCUAGGAGUCACCGUCUAAAUCAUCGAGUCCUGCUUGUUCCUCCGCUGGUAGUAUUUUACGUGUCUUCGGAUCCUUGUGACCAAGCAUUCUCACCCGAGGGCCAGGGAAGUCAUCGCGGUGAGCGUUCUAUUAAAUCUAUCGUGAGUGUAACAACAGGCGACGGAUUGCCACAGAAAGAACUCAGUGAAGUGCAACAUCAACCCUUUCAAACCUACCAACCAUUUAAACAGAUACGCCUAGCGUUAAAUAUUAGCCCAUAAUUAGAUAUACAUAUCUACGCCCUAGCAGUUACACCGUUGAGUGUAGAUAGGUAUAGAGGUGCGGAGGACGUGGUGGGGAUAUGUCAAGCAUAUACUAUAGUAAAAUUUUAGUUCCAAUCCCGGCGGGUAGAUGGCACCCUGAAAAUCCCAAUGUGGCCGGCGAGGCAGGUAAAAAGGCGGACAUGCUGGUCCUCUAGAUUCGAGACGACUGGAAGAUUCUCGAAGGGCCUAAUCCGGAGGGCGCCACAGCUGCGGGAGUCCUUGAAUCCGAUUGGCUGCUGCCUCGUUGGUCGCCAUACCAAGCUAUCUUGUGGCGCUGCCUAUGAGUGGGGAUUUGUACUAAAAGAGACUGUAGCGCGCACGCGCAAAUUGUUUGCGAGAAACAAGCACCAUUUGUUCCGAGUAACAUUAAUAACACAAACAACAUUCUAAAUAGAAUUAAUGAUGGAGAAAUUGUAGGAUUUAUCACGUGUAUCAAAGAUUAUAUAAUAGAAACGAAUUUCAGUGUUAGAACUCUUAUUGCUUUCUAUUGGGAAUGUAUAUUUUCGGAUUGUAGAUCAUCGGCGUGUUCCGAUAUACACUGGCAGUGCUGCCAGUACUGCAGAUUUCAUUCCGAUAUUGGAGUACAGUGCACUGCGGCAGUGCCUAGUAACUUUAAUGACGUCAUAAGUUUCUCCCAUUUUUUCACUGUAAGCACCUGAACUCCCAUAGGUAAGGUACUCCCAGUGGUCACCCACUCCCUACAAUAAUAGGCGGAAAAAAUGGUGAAGGUAACGUUAAUUGACGGCGAAACAAACGUUUUGUACGAAAUAUGUGUAACACCAGAACAAUCAUUAUGUGCACAAAAUGGUAAAUGAUAGCUUUUUGAUCAUCUUAUUUUUUUCUCUUUUGUUUUGGUGCAAAUAAUCAUAUUUUUGGUAUUGCCUCCCUUUGUUUUAUUUGUGCAAUUCACCAGUUACUGAAAAACGUUCCGAUAUUAUUCCCAACCAGUUAUAAACACUGGCGCUGACGAAAAUGGAAUGCUUCAACAGUAUACUUCAAUGACGUCACAUAUUGCAGUGCUCACAGGGUAUAUUGGAACACGCCGCAUAUAUGCAAGU